rnacentral:rRNA from 1 species
UACAGAGGUGGCAAGCGUUGUCCGGAAUUACUGGGCGUAAAGGGCGCGUAGGCGGUCUUGCAAGUCCUGUGUGAAAUCCCUCGGCUCAACUGAGGAACUGCACAGGAAACUGCUUGGCUUGAGUUCGGGAGAGGGAAGCGGAAUUCCGGGUGUAGCGGUGAAAUGCGUAGAUAUCCGGAGGAACACCGGUGGCGAAGGCGGCUUCCUGGACCGACACUGACGCUGAGGCGCGAAAGCUAGGGGAGCAAACGGG